rnacentral:rRNA from 1 species
AUACGUAGGGGGCGAGCGUUGUCCGGAAUGAUUGGGCGUAAAGGGCGCGUAGGCGGCCUGGUAAGUCUGAAGUGAAAGUCCCGCUUUCAAGGUGGGAAUUGCUUUGGAUACUGCUGGGCUUGAGUGCAGGAGAGGAAAGCGGAAUUCCCGGUGUAGCGGUGAAAUGCGUAGAGAUCGGGAGGAACACCAGUGGCGAAGGCGGCUUUCUGGACUGUAGCUGACGCUGAGGCGCGAAAGCGUGGGGAGCAAACAGGAUUAGAUACCCUGGUAGUCCACGCUGUAAACGAUGAAUGCUAGGUGUAGGAGGUAUCGACCCCUUCUGUGCCGGAGUAAACACAAUAAGCAUUCCGCCUGGGGAGUACGGCCGCAAGGUUGAAACUUAAAGGAAUUGACGGGGG